UACGUAGGGAGCAAGCGUUGUCCGGAAUCAUUGGGCGUAAAGCGCGCGUAGGUGGCCUCAUAAGUCCGCUGUAAAAGUCCAGGGCUCAACCCUGGAAAGCCGGUGGAUACUGUCGGGCUAGAGUCCGGAAGAGGCGAGUGGAAUUCCUGGUGUAGCGGUGGAAUGCGCAGAUAUCAGGAGGAACACCGAUGGCGAAGGCAGGUCUCUGGGCCGAUACUGACGCUGAGGAGCGAAAGCGUGGGGAGCGAACAGG
rnacentral:rRNA from 1 species